AGCAGCCGCCGCGGUAAUACGAAGGGGGCUAGCGUUGUUCGGAUUUACUGGGCGUAAAGCGCACGUAGGCGGACUUUUAAGUCAGGGGUGAAAUCCCGGGGCUCAACCCCGGAACUGCCUUUGAUACUGGAAGUCUUGAGUAUGGUAGAGGUGAGUGGAAUUCCGAGUGUAGAGGUGAAAUUCGUAGAUAUUCGGAGGAACACCAGUGGCGAAGGCGGCUCACUGGACCAUUACUGACGCUGAGGUGCGAAAGCGUGGGGAGCAAACAGGAUUAGAGACCCCCGUAGUCCCUGUCUCUUAUAC
rnacentral:rRNA from 1 species